rnacentral:rRNA from 1 species
GAUGAACGCUAGCGGCAGGCUUAACACAUGCAAGUCGAGGGGUAUAGUAGCAAUACUAGAGACCGGCGCACGGGUGCGUAACGCGUAUGCAAUCUACCUUUCACAGAGGGAUAGCCCAGAGAAAUUUGGAUUAAUACCUCAUAGUAUUAUAGUAUGGCAUCAUAUUAUGAUUAAAGUCACAACGGUGAAGGAUGAGCAUGCGUCCCAUUAGCUAGUUGGUAAGGUAACGGCUUACCAAGGCAACGAUGGGUAGGGGUCCUGAGAGGGAGAUCCCCCACACUGGUACUGAGACACGGACCAGACUCCUACGGGAGGCAGCAGUGAGGAAUAUUGGACAAUGGGCGCAAGCCUGAUCCAGCCAUGCCGCGUGCGGGAUGACGGUCCUAUGGAUUGUAAACUGCUUUUGCACAGGAAGAAACAACUCUACGUGUAGAGUCUUGACGGUACUGUGAGAAUAAGGAUCGGCUAACUCCGUG